rnacentral:rRNA from 1 species
AUUAACGCUGGCGGCGUGCCUAAUACAUGCAAGUCGAGCGCUUCGACGCAAGUCGAAGAGCGGCAGACGGGUGAGUAACACGUUGGGACCUUCCUUGAAGUGAGGGAUAACCCCGAGAAAUCGGGGCUAAUACCGCAUGUGCUCCAAUCUCUUUCGAGAGUUUGGAGUAAAGCAGCAAUGCGCUUUAAGAGGGACCUGCGUCCUAUCAGCUUGUUGGUGAGGUAACGGCUCACCAAGGCUAUGACGGGUAGCUGGUCUGAGAGGAUGAUCAGCCACAAGGGGACUGAGACAAGGCCCCUACUCCUACGGGAGGCAGCAGUAGGGAAUCUUUCGCAAUGGGGGAAACCCUGACGAAGCAACGCCGCGUGAAGGAUGAAGGUCGAAAGGUUGUAAACUUCUUUUCUGAGGGAAUAAUUCUGAAGGUACCUCAGGAAUAAGCACCGGCUAACUCCGU